UACUAAUCUUUUGUGGGGUAACACAC
rnacentral:misc_RNA from 1 species